rnacentral:rRNA from 1 species
GACAGAGGUGCCGAGCGUUAGGCGGAAUCACUGGGCUUAAAGCGUGUGUAGGCGGAUGGUUAAGUAUCUUGUGAAAUCCCACGGCUCAACCGUGGAAGUGCAUUCGAAACUACAGGGCUAGAGUUCUGGAGAGGAAGGUGGAAUGCUUGGUGUAGAGGUGAAAUUCGUAGAUAUCAAGCGGAACACCGGUGGCGAAGGCGGCCUUCUGGACAGUAACUGACGCUGAGACGCGAAAGCGUGGGGAGCAAACAGG